CUGGGUUCCCCCCGGAGCCUCCCUCGAUCCCCGACCCCAAUUCCCGAUCCCGACCCCAAAUCCCGACCCCAAUCCCGCUUUGGCGGCCAUGGAGCGGCAGCAGGAGCUGAAGGUGCUGCUGAAGCGCUGGGAAGCGGAAUUCUUGCGGGAGCGGCAGCGCAAACCCAGCCAGGCCGACAUCGAGGAGGCUCCAGAGGAAACUCGCACUCUGUACCGGGAGUACCGGGCGCUGAAACUUCGCGGGAAAACUUCGGCGGAAAAAUCCCAAAAAAA